rnacentral:rRNA from 1 species
AUUGAACGCUAGCGGGAUGCCUUACACAUGCAAGUCGAACGGAGGGGCGAACGGGUGAGUAAUGUAACGGAACGUGCCCAGUAGCGGGGGAUAACUACGAGAAAGCGUAGCUAAUACCGCAUACUAUUGGAGCGGCCGAUAUCGGAUUAGCUAGCUGGUGGGGUAACGGCGCACGAAGGCGACGUUCCGUAGCUGGUUUGAGAGGACGACCAGCCACACUGGGACUGGGACACGGCCCAGACUCCUACGGGAGGCAGCAGUGGGGAAUUUUGGACAAUGGGGGAAACCCUGAUCCAGCCAUCCCGCGUGUGUGAGGAAGGCCUUCGGUUUGUAAAGCACUUUUGGCAGGAAGGCGGUACCAGCAGAAUAAGCACCGGCUAACUUCGUGCCAGCCGCCGCGGUAAUAC